rnacentral:lncRNA from 10 species
UGGGCAAGGCGGGAGGAGCGCGGACCCAAGAUCGGCUACGCUGCGUCUGCUCAGGCUGCGAGUUCCCGGCUCUGGGGACUCACCUUGCGGAGCUUACCCAGGCGGACUCUCCGCAGCCCCUGAUGGGUGUGUGUGUCAGACCGUUUACUAAACACCAGGACUGUUGUAGGCGACUGUAAGAAAUAAGAAUAUUGCAUGGUUACAAUUCUUGAAUGCUUACCUUGUGUCUUGUUCCUUACUCUACAGAAAUUUUCUAAUCCCGUGGCGAACCCCCGUACUUCAACGUAUGACAUUCUGUAAAUCUACAAAACAGAUGGGUCCCUGCCUUUGAGAAGUUUUUACAAUUUAGUGGGUACUGGACACGGACCUAAUUUAAUUCUCACAUGCCUUCCCUUUCUAAUAAGCUGCAUGUUAUGUAUCCCUAUUCUACAGAUGUGGGGAAUCCGAAAUUUUUAGCUUUUACUGGGACACACAGCUAGCAAGCAACUAAAGCGAGAAUUCCAACCUGAGCUCCAAUCCGAACUAUUUUCAUAAAAGGCAGGAUCCCAGGCUGAGGGAGUUCGAGGUUUGGGAGACAGUUUAGCAGUCGCUGAGUCCAAACAUGUUGUUUUCCUAGAAAAGAAAACUGAGAUCCAGGAAAGGGAAGUGAUUUUCCAAAGACACACCUGUGAAAGGUAAUAAUUUCACUGAACGGAUCUUAAGUGGCAGGUGCACUAAGAUUGUCUGCUAUCUUCACAACAACCCCGAAGUAAAUAAGUGCUCUUAUCUUGGUCUUACAGGUGAGGAGAACAGCCCAGUGAGGCUGAGGCCACACAAUUAACCCCAGUCUUUGCACUACAACUCUACCAGGGAUCCUGGUUUGGCUCAUUUUCUUUCUUCUGCACCAUGAUUGUUCACCUUUUCAUUACCAGCAACAUACCCAAAGACCUAGCUAUAGACUCGUUGGAAUCUGUUACUUAGCAGCUGUGUGAAUCAAGUGUUCAAUAGGAAUAAUAAGAUGUAUUCAUCUUACCUUUUCAGAACAUUAUGAAGAACAAAUGUGCAGCCGUGUUGAACCAUGAAAGGACCUCAGGAAUGAAACCCACACACAGCAAAGCAACAAAGUGAAAGAAGCGUGGAUUCCUAAUGCAGGAGGCACUGAACCAAUCAAUACCCACUGCCCUCCAGACCUCCACAUGAAAGAAAAAAACUGCUGUCCUGUGAAGAAGACACUCCCCAGAUGCCAGCAACUUGAUAUUGGACUUCCUGCCUUUAGAAACGUGAGAAAUAAAUUUUUUUUCUUUAUAAGUUACCCAGCCUCUGGCAUUCUGUUAUAGCAGCACAGAACAGACUAAGACAGCCACUGAAACCAGAUCUAUGUCCCGGACCACCCUCAUUUGCCUCAAUUUCUCUCUAUAUAUAAUAAGAACAAAUAAUGCAAAUGCUAUCUAUACUUCCCCGUGACUACAGGGAGACUAAGGGAUGAAAUAUAUAAUCACACUUUGAAAAUAUAUAAAUGUUAUCCAACCAUACAUCCAUUGUUUCACAUCAGGCUGGGCCACAUAGCUUCCUCUGUACCCUUUAGUUUCCUGCCCUUAUCUCUAUCACAGGCCAUAUAUCAAAUGCCUAGUAAUUAUCAGUGCAUCUAUAUAUUCCCUAUUCUCCCCAACAAUACAUAAAAGGUUAUUGCAUUGCAUUGAAUUAUAAGACUUGAUUACUGGAAAGUCUAGACAUCACUCAGGGUCAUUGUGGGG